rnacentral:lncRNA from 1 species
AUGAGAUUUUACUUUGAAAUACAGAGACCUGCCAAGUGCAUGAUUUUCCUCUAUUGCUUUACCUGCUUCCAGGAAUUAGAAAUUAAUCAAUAUAAAUCUUUGGAUCUGGAAAAUUUCAAGCACAUAUUCAAGAAAUGCAUGGGAUCACAGAAUGUAAAUGAUGAACAAUUAGAAGAACUUUUCAUGAAAAUUGACUAUUCUGCAACUGGCAGAAUUAAGUGGCAUGAUUUCUGCACCUACAUGCAUCUGGAAUAUGCUGAACAGGACAGAUUCUCGAGUCGUCUGAAAAGAGUUGACUUCUCACUUCCAGCGGAAAUAAAGGAGAUCCCACAUGGAGAACCUGUGCUACACAUUUGCUCACUGUCAGACAGCACCCUCAUAACAGCCAGAGAAGAUGGAAAUAUUUCUUUCUGGUCACCAGAACUCAAGCUAAAACGAAGCAAGAUGGUUUUCGAUAAAACUCACAAAAGAUCAAAAUGGCUUAUGGAUUUCACUGUUAUGAUUCCGUACAAUAAAUUAAUACUGGCAACUGGGUAAGUUUCUCACAUACAAUAACAAAAACAAAAACCUUUGUCAAGAUUUCUUUUAUCCACAACUUAACUGAGAAAAGUUCCAUUAUGAAACAGUUUGGAAACUUGGAUGGAAUUCGAGAGACAGGACUAUGACAAAAAUACCAAACUAUAACUUGCCACUUAAUUAAGAAAGGCAGCCUAUGACUAGAACUUCUUGAAUUUAAGCAAAUAAGCAGCUUUGGGCGGCCCUCAUUUUAGAUUUGAACCAUAAUACUAGAAAAUAAAUAUUAAGGUCUUUAAGGAGGCAUAUUUUUAUUAGGAAGAUGGUUUGAGGGGAAAUUAUCUUCCCACUCUAAAUUGUUUUCAUAAUGAAAUUGGUUUUCUCAAAGCUAAUGUAAGAAAUAUGCUGGAUCAGUUCAAAGAUCUCUUUAACCCAGCAUUUUGACAUAAGCAUGGUGCCUCUUAUCUUGGCAUUCAUAUACAGCAGUGGUUCCCAACCUUUUUUUGAUCAAGGACCACUUUGACCAGGGACCACAUUGACCAAGGAUCACUUUGACCAGUUACCACUCUCCAAUAUUAAUACCAAAAGUUUUACGAAUAAAUUUUUGGUGAACUUUAGAUUCAGUUUAGUUAUUUGGGGAGCUGAUUCAGAAAAUUGCAUUAGAUAGACCACAUCAGCUCUAGUUUCUGAUACAGAACAUAUGCCAUCCAGCAGUUGCCAUCUGCUUGCCCACAGAAAACCAUAUUUAAUAAUCUAGAGCUGAUGUGGUCUGAAUCAGCACUCCAAAUAACCCCAGGACAGGCCUAAAAAUGAAGACACCAAUGAAGACACCCCUUGCUUCCAGGCGCCACAUGGAACGACUCCGCUCGGGAAGUGAGGAGGAGGAGGAGAAACAGCAGUCAGGAGGCUUGUUGUAGUGCCUUUCGUGGGUAG